AUUGAACGCUGGCGGCAGGCCUAACACAUGCAAGUCGAACGGAGCGGCGGACGGGUGAGUAAUGCCUAGGAAUCUGCCUGGUAGUGGGGGAUAACGACCGGAAACGGGCGCUAAUACCGCAUACUAUUGGAGGCGCAUAGGUCGGAUUAGCUAUUUGGUGGGGUAAAGGCCCACCAAGGCGACGAUCCGUAACUGGUCUGAGAGGAUGAUCAUCCACACUGGAACUGCGACACGGUCCAGACUCCUACGGGAGGCAGCAGUGGGGAAUAUUGGACAAUGGGCGCAAGCCUGAUCCAGCCAUGCCGCGUGUGUGAAGAAGGCCUUCGGAUUGUAAAGCACUUUAAGCUGGGAGGCGUUACCUGCAGAAUAAGCACCGGCUAACUACGUGCCAGCAGCCGCGGUAAUAC
rnacentral:rRNA from 1 species